UGGUCAGUAGUUGUUUAGUUUUACUUUCUACUUUUAUUUAUGAAAUGGAAUCUAUUAACUAAGUUAAUUAGCUAAUUAAUUCAUGGUUAAGUUCUUAAGUUUUUGACUAGAAGUGUAAUUUGGGCCUUAAAGGUAAUUGGAGGAAGAGAGUUCUUUUAGCGCUUAAUUUUAUGGAUAGAAAGAAUUUUCACGGAAAUAAUUAAAGUUAAUUUCUUGAAGUCUUCCACGGGUACCAAUUUUAUAGGCUCAAUUCUAUUUUAUGAACUUCUGGAUGGUUUUGGCAGAUACGUUUAGGCCAGAUCUAGUAUGUUAAAAUGAAAGAAACCUACUUCAUGGAUGCUUGUUGAUUGUAUGCUUGCUAGAUCUGCGGUUGCUUUGAUUUUAUUUGCCUGUUUAGGAAUAGGUGAAUUCAUAAACUUUAUGGAAAAAUUGAAUUUUUACCGCGUGACUUGUGGAGAUUGUGUCUUUGACUAUGGAAUCUAUUAACUAAGUUAAUUAGCUAAUUAAUUCAUGGAUAAGUUCUUGACGUCUUCCAUGAGUACCAAUUUUAUAGGCUCAAUUCUAUUUUAUGAACUUCUGGAUGGGUUUGGCAGAUACAUUUAGGCCAGAUCUAGCAUGUUAAAAUGAAAGAAACCUACUUCAUGGAUGCUUGUUGAUUGUAUGCUUGCUAGAUCUGUGGUUGCUUUGAUUUUCUUUGCCUGUUUAGGAAUAGUUGAAUUCAUAAACUUUAUGGAAAAAUUGAAUUUUUACUGCGUAACUUGUGGAGAUUGUGUCUUUGACUAUUAAUUUGGG
rnacentral:lncRNA from 1 species